rnacentral:rRNA from 1 species
UACGUAGGUGGCAAGCGUUGUCCGGAAUUAUUGGGCGUAAAGCGCGCGCAGGUGGUUCCUUAAGUCUGAUGUGAAAGCCCGCGGCUCAACCGUGGAGGGUCAUUGGAAACUGGGGAACUUGAGUGCAGAAGAGGAAAGUGGAAUUCCAAGUGUAGCGGUGAAAUGCGUAGAGAUUUGGAGGAACACCAGUGGCGAAGGCGACUUUCUGGUCUGUAACUGACACUGAGGCGCGAAAGCGUGGGGAGCAAACAGG